CGAACAAGAACAACUAUGAUGCAAAUAUCUAUCCAUACCAAACUUUUAUUGCACAGGCUAAUUGUAUCUCUAGCUCAAGAAAAUCAAAUUCUAAACAAAAAGCAGCAUUCUUUAUUAAGGUAUGAGAUGGUAACUCACCUUUGAAGUAUAUUUAAAGAGAACUCUAAAGAAAACGAAAGUGUCCUAAAAUGGGUAACUAACUCAAUCAACCACCCGACAAGGAGACCCACAACCCCAAUUGCUAUUACAAGAAUAAUAUUGGAUGACCUGCGAAGUUUAGCACAGUUACAAGCCAAUCUUCAACCUUCAUUAAUCUGCAACAUAAAUGAAUAUCUGGUCGCUCCGGUUUCAACCAUGAGUGCCGUAAGAAUUUCAGUAACAUAGAUAAAUGUUUCAAGCCAUGUAUAGUAAGUAACCCACCAAUUUUACGAAAAUCUCAAAUAAACUCAACAUACCUCUGAUUUGCUGUGACUUUCCAUUGAAGCAGUUCGCCCAAAUCGCACUGUAAGCUUAAGCGUAUUACCUCUGUAGCAUAACCCCUUUGUUCGCCCAAAUUGUAGAGAAAUCGCAGUCGCAGUUCACCCAAAUCGCUACCGUCUCCCCAAUAUCCGUCCGCCAGUAAGACUAGCGGAUGCUGGUAAUCAGAAGCAUCUGAUUUGUCUUGGGUAAUUGGGGGCAUAAGUGUCUUAAAAUUUCACUAACAACGUCCGCUAGUAAUACUAGCGGACGGUGUUUUUCCAUAUCAAAUCAUAGCCAUUCAUUUAUUAAACCUAUGGUAUAGAUGCUAUAUAUAUAUACACACGACUUAAUCAACUGGGUGAAGUUGAUGAUAGAAUUCACAAGAGAUCGUUGCUGAAAGUUUGUUAAAUCAUGCAGUCAGAAAAUUUCAAGUGGAGUAUUAUUUUGUAAGGUUUAUACAACAAGAUUACUAAAUAAAGAUUUAAGUUUUAAGGACAACUAAUUCAGGUUUCUUUUGGAUGAUUCUGGUCUGUGGGUCAACGGAAUAGAAAAUUUAUUGGGUGUGUACACGUAAGUACUCCCUCCGUUCCUUAAUAUAGGUCGUUUUAGAGAAAUAUUUUUGUUCCUAAAUAUAAGUCGUUUGAGAAUUUCAAGUAAGUAUUAAUUGUUUAGUUUCCAAUAUUACCUCAAGUAAUAAAUAUAACUUUGGUUCUCUCACUAUUUUUUGUCCAAUAAAUAACAUUUUCUUUUUCCAAUACAAGGGCAAUAUAGACAAUUGAUAGUAUAUUUAAUAUUUUACAAUCAUUUCCUUAAUACUUGUGCAUAACUCUAAAACGAUCUAUAUUAAAAAACGGAUGAAGUAAGUUACAAAAAAAAAUUAAUGAUUAGCCUCCUUUACGCGUCAUCUAUCUCUCUCUAUAUUAUUCCCCAAAAUAAGUAAAAUAUAAUUUUCAAACACAUUAAGAAAAUUAAAAGUAGAAUAUUAAACUAUCUCAAUUUUUUUAAGACAAAAAUAUUUAUAUUUUUAGUCAAUUUUUUGGGGACGGAGAUAACAUUAGAUUAUAAAACAGUUUAAGGCCGCCGCACACGAGUUGCGUGGAGUAAAAUAGAAUUUUUUAAAAUUUAGAAAAAUAAAUAGAAUAA
rnacentral:lncRNA from 1 species